UUCAAAACUCGCUCUUCCUUUCCCCUUUUUAAUUUUCGUUUCAAACCUUCUCCAUCUCUACUUCUUCAUCUCUAUAUUAUCUCUCCUUUCUCUCUAUGUAAGGUGACUUCUCCGACGAAUCAACCUCUCCUGACGUCCCUUUUUUUUGUUUCUUUCACAAUCAUCGGCGUCAAGUCGUAGUCCUCCUUCGUUGGGGUGAUUUGUUUUUUCGAUUCAACCUUCACCGGCGAGACAUCUAUCCCAUUUUCUGUUAUUUUGUGUUGUGGGUUGCAAAAUGGAAAACUUCGCUGACUUUGGUGAUGGGAGCAAGGUGUGGUUAAACACUGUUGUAUGGCUUUGUUCAUUGCAUAAGUGUUAAGACUCCGGCAAGUGUACCGAAUCGUAUCAAGUAAUAAACAUGGUUUUAAGAUGAAUUGAAUGGAAGAAGUGAAGUAGCCAUAAGUUAGAGUCAGAAAAGGAAGAAAAAAUGCAAAAAAGAAGAGCCGCAAGUAUCGCUCGGCGAAAAUUACCGUUGAGGGGCAAAAUUGUAGCUGAGCGUCAAAUAGAAGAACCGCACUUACCACUGAGCGGUAAUUACCGCUAAGCGCCAUUUUAAUGGGUCUUGGGCCACUUUUCUGUAAUUUGAAGGAGUCUAUAUAAGGUUUUAGUCGCCUAGGGUUAGGAUCUUUUGGCAGAACCAAGAAAAAUCACACUUUCUUCACCCCUUGGAGGAGUAUUUUGGAUGCUCAAGCUCCACUCUUCAAAUUCUAGGGUUCUAUCUUUCAUUCUUUCAUUAUUUUUCAUCUAGUUUCACCAUGAUUAUGGUGAACUAAACCUUCAUUGUUUUUGGGGAAUCAAUGUAAUUUGAAACUCUCAUGUAUUGAAUUGGUUCUUUAA